GACGAACGCUGGCGGCGUGCCUAAUACAUGCAAGUCGAGCGGAAUGAUGAAGAAGCUUGCUUCUUCUGAUUUUAGCGGCGGACGGGUGAGUAACACGUGGGCAACCUACCUUGUAGAUUGGGAUAACUCCGGGAAACCGGGGCUAAUACCGAAUAAUCCAUUUUGCUUCAUGGCGAGAUGUUGAAAGACGGUUUCGGCUGUCACUACAAGAUGGGCCCGCGGCGCAUUAGCUAGUUGGUAGGGUAAUGGCCUACCAAAGCGACGAUGCGUAGCCGACCUGAGAGGGUGAUCGGCCACACUGGGACUGAGACACGGCCCAGACUCCUACGGGAGGCAGCAGUAGGGAAUCUUCCACAAUGGACGAAAGUCUGAUGGAGCAACGCCGCGUGAGUGAAGAAGGUUUUCGGAUCGUAAAACUCUGUUGUAAGGGAAGAACACGUACGAGAGUAACUGCUCGUACCUUGACGGUACCUUAUUAGAAAGCCACGGCUAACUACGUG
rnacentral:rRNA from 1 species